AAUCUGACAGCCACCAAACAGCGAACAAGAUGCUGGAUGAAUGGAAACCUCUGGAUUUACAAGGGACCUGUACUGGCCAUUCUACUGGUCAAUUUUGUGUUGUUCGCAAUUCUUCUUCGCGUGAUCUUUGGAAAAAUAUCCUCCAAAUAUGGUAACAAUCACGUGAUG